rnacentral:rRNA from 1 species
CAGUCGCCGCGGUAAUACGUAGGGUGCGAGCGUUAAUCGGAAUUACUGGGCGUAAAGCGUGCGCAGGCGGUUGUGUAAGACAGGUGUGAAAUCCCCGGGCUUAACCUGGGAACUGCGCUUGUGACUGCACAGCUAGAGUAUAGCAGAGGGGGGUGGAAUUCCACGUGUAGCAGUGAAAUGCGUAGAGAUGUGGAGGAAUACCGAUGGCGAAGGCAGCCCCCUGGGCCAAUACUGACGCUCAUGCACGAAAGCGUGGGGAGCAAACAGGAUUAGAUACCCCUGUAGUCCCUGUCUCUUAUAC